rfam:Picea glauca, whole genome shotgun sequence.
UGUUAUGCACAUUCCUAGAAUGCCAAUGCAACAUAUCCCAUUAGAACUUCAUAGUUAAGCACACUUGGACUAGAGUAGUACUGGGAUGGGUGAUGUCUCAGAAAUUCCUCAUGUUUUAUAU